AUUUGGGAAUAUUACAGAUUUUACAUGCGUACUUGUGCAAUUAACAUUUCUCAUGUAUGGCAUAAUAUUUUGAGGGACAAUACAUAAUGAUCUCCUUAAGGUGGUAUCAAAUAACCUUGACUAAAAACAAAUGGGCUUGUGUAUUCUUCAUAAAAUUUGGACAAAAUAUUCACUUUCACCCUUUGACAAAAAAUUUAAUAAAAUCAAAAUUAGAACCACAAACUUUACCAGAAAAAUUUCAUUGGAUAUAUGUCGUUUGAAAAACUGAUUUUAAUCAUUGAGAAACGUAAUUGAAAAUAGAACGUGAUUUAAAUGUUCAGCUGAUUUUUACACAGUUAUCUCCCUGUAGUAUUAUUUAUACCACCUUUAUGGUAGUUUUGAUAAUUUGUUAUUAAGGAUUUUUGUAUAUAUCUAGAUAUCUAAUGAAUCAAUGUUUCUCAAAUGUACCGAGUCAGCCUUCAGGAAUAUGACAUGUGAGCUGCGUCGGAUAGAAAUCAACCUUAUACAAAUCAACACCAAUACAUAUAUAUACCUAUUUCAUUUUUUUUUUUUUAAAUUAACAGAAAGUCUGGGACUGUUUGCAUGUUGCAUAAUUAAUCGAAUGCUACCAAACUGCAUCUUUUAUUUCAUUGUCUUUUGUAUAUGAAUGUUCCAAAAUCAAUCAGAUUCUUAGGGACGACAUCAAAAGUUCAAUGUAGGAUAAAAAACUUAAUUCACAUAGUUUUUUACUGACCCCCCCCCCCCCCUCCCUCUUAACUUAAUUUGGGAAAAAUUGAUUUAUCAAUAGGGAUAUAUAUGUAAAAAUCGAUUUUAGAUAUACAAAACUUGCAGAAUUUUAACCCCCACCCCCAAACUUUUUCAUUUAAGUUUUUUAUCCUACAUCAAUCUUUUGAUGUAGUCCCUUAUACAUAUUCAUAUUAACGUACACUUGCAUAAGGUCGAUUUCUAUCUGACGUAGCCCAUUUGUUAUCCAUUCUUUUGAUGUGGUUGAGCUUUUCAUUUGGCGAUUUUAUAAAGGACCUUUUGUUUUGAAUUUUUCCUCCGAGUUUGGUACUUUUUUUUUUUUACCAAGAAAUGAAGACAAAAUGUAUUAAAAAGCACUGAUUUUAGGCAUGUCAAGUGUUAAAGUAAUUUAACAACAAUUACUCUGAUAAUGUUGCAAGUGACAAUGUCAGCCACAUUGAAUAUUCGAAAAAAAAUUCCUAUAGUUUCAGAGGAGAUAAUAUAUGUACAAGUUAAUGGCAUUUAAAACUGAGGAAUGGAAAAUAAUGAAGUCUUAGUCAAAGUUUAUGUAUGCAUUCUAAAUAAAUAACUAUUUUCUGUAACUAUGUU
rnacentral:lncRNA from 1 species